rnacentral:rRNA from 1 species
GCUUGCUUCUCUGAUGUUAGCGGCGGACGGGUGAGUAACACGUGGAUAACCUACCUAUAAGACUGGGAUAACUUCGGGAAACCGGAGCUAAUACCGGAUAAUAUUUUGAACCGCAGGGUUCAAAAGUGAAAGACGGUCUUGCUGUCACUUAUAGAUGGAUCCGCGCUGCAUUAGCUAGUUGGUAAGGUAACGGCUUACCAAGGCAACGAUGCAUAGCCGACCUGAGAGGGUGAUCGGCCACACUGGAACUGAGACACGGUCCAGACUCCUACGGGAGGCAGCAGUAGGGAAUCUUCCGCAAUGGGCGAAAGCCUGACGGAGCAACGCCGCGUGAGUGAUGAAGGUCUUCGGAUCGUAAAACUCUGUUAUUAGGGAAGAACAUAUGUGUAAGUAACUGUGCACAUCUUGACGGUACCUAAUCAGAAAGCCACGGCUAACUACGUGCCAGCAGCCGCGGUAAUACGUAGGUGGCAAGCGUUAUCCGGAAUUAUUGGGCGUAAAGCGCGCGUAGGCGGUUUUUUAAGUCUGAUGUGAAAGCCCACGGCUCAACCGUGGAGGGUCAUUGGAAACUGGAAAACUUGAGUGCAGAAGAGGAAAGUGGAAUUCCAUGUGUAGCGGUGAAAUGCGCAGAGAUAUGGAGGAACACCAGUGGCGAAGGCGACUUUCUGGUCUGUAACUGACGCUGAUGUGCGAAAGCGUGGGGAUCAAACAGGAUUAGAUACCCUGGUAGUCCACGCCGUAAACGAUGAGUGCUAAGUGU